rnacentral:tRNA from 1 species
GCCCGGCUAGCUCAGUCGGUAGAGCAUGAGACUCUUAAUCCCAAGGUCGUGGGUUCGAGCCCCACGCUGGGCG